AGGGCCGGGAGCGGUGGCUGCCAUGCUUCUCCUAACCCUAAGAAAUAAGGGCGGUGGGCCGGAGCUUUUGUACCCCCGCGCGCUGUUUUUCUCGCUGACUUUCAGCGGGCGGAAAAGCCGGGGCCUACCGCAAUUCACCAUCCAGUCUGCCUCAAACAAAAAAUGUCAGCGACUGGCGCGUCCACCUCUCCCGGGACCUGCGGUGACCGCCCGCCUAGUCCCCGCUCCCCGCCGAGAGGCCGCGGUCGGCCGGGGCUUCUCCUGAGGCCCCAAUGCCGCCGCGAAGAGUUGGGCUCUGUCAGCCGCGGGGCUCUCGGGGGCCAGGCGAGGCCCAGCGAUGCGGCCGCAGGGACAGGAACGGAGCUGGUCCCCACGCGGUGCGCUUCCCUGAGCCGUGGGAAGCGCAUCGGGACCCGGUUCUCACAUGC
rnacentral:telomerase_RNA from 1 species